rnacentral:rRNA from 1 species
UGCGUAGGCGGAUUUUUAAGCCAGUGGUGAAAGCCCGGAGCUCAACUCCGGAACUGCCAUUGAUACUAUUAAUCUUGAAUACAGUUGAGGUGGGCGGAAUGUGUAGUGUAGCGGUGAAAUGCUUAGAUAUUACACAGAACACCGAUUGCGAAGGCAGCUCGCUAAACUGUUAUUGACGCUGAGGCACGAAAGCGUGGGGAGCGAACAGGAUUAGAUACCCUGGUAGUCC